ACAGGCUGGUUUUCUUAUGAUCACUGAAGUUAAGCAACACUGAAUCUGGUCAGUACCUAGAUGGGUGACCACUUGGGAAUACCAGGUGCUGUAAG